rnacentral:tRNA from 1 species
GCCGGGGUAGCUAAGCCUGGUGAUAGCGCGGGACUCAUAAUCCCGAGGUCGCGGGUUCAAAUCCCGCCCCCGGCA